rnacentral:rRNA from 1 species
AACGAACGCUGGCGGCAUGCCUAACACAUGCAAGUCGAACGAGACCUUCGGGUCUAGUGGCGCACGGGUGCGUAACGCGUGGGAACCUGCCCUUAGGUUCGGAAUAACUCCCCGAAAGGGGUGCUAAUACCGGAUAAUGUCUUCGGACCAAAGAUUUAUCGCCUUUGGAUGGGCCCGCGUUGGAUUAGCUAGUUGGUAGGGUGAAAGCCUACCAAGGCGACGAUCCAUAGCUGGUCUGAGAGGAUGAUCAGCCACACUGGGACUGAGACACGGCACAGACUCCUACGGGAGGAAGCAGUGGGGAAUAUUGGACAAUGGGCGAAAGACUGAUCAAGCAAUGCCGCGUGAGGGAUGAAGGCCUUAGGGUUGUAAAGCUCUUUUAGCCGGGAUGAUAAUGACAGUACCGGGAGAAUAAGCUCCGGCUAACUCCGUG